rnacentral:rRNA from 1 species
UUUUGCUGUUAGGCAAUGUGGUGUUUGGGUCGGCUCGUGGGAUUGCCACUCCACUCGAAGUCCAACAUUGAGUAUGGUUCCUGGAUUUGACCCAGAGAGGGUGAAAGGCCCGUACGAGUGGAUGUUUCAGACAUGAAAGGCAAUUCACCAGGCCGGCCUUAGAGUCGGGUUGUUUGAGAAUGCAGCCCAAAGUGGGUGGUAAACUCCAUCCAAGGCUAAAUACUAGCACGAGUCCGAUAGCGAACAAGUACCGUGAGGGAAAGUUGAAAAGUACUUUGAAGAGAGAGUAAACAGUACGUGAAACCGCAUAGAGGUAAACGGGUGGCGUCAAGCUGCAAGCCUAGAGGAUUCAGUCGGUCAGGAUGUUGUGUAUGCGCCUGGCGCAUCUAUCAGUCGGUGUUAGAUUGGGUAGUCCGCCGGGAAACGGUGGGCCCAGCCGCAAGGUUGGGAUUUGCGUACCGGGUGGUUGCCGGAGCAUGCUGCCUAUCUGUUGGACUGCCUGGCCGAUGCACUUCCUCUGUUAAGGUGAACACCACGACCGGUGGUACUGCCAGUCUGUUGUAGCCAAGUUGUGCUCAGUCGGCAUUUAUGUUGCCUGGGUGCAAUCACAGGCAAAGUCAGUGAACGGUGUUCGGGCCUUCGGGCCUGUUCAUGUUAUCGGGCACUGCUUGUCAACGGGUCGGUCUGUCGAUUGUUGUUGCAGUCGUCGGCAGAUGGCCUGGUGGGCUAUUGUGGUAAUAAUAACUGUGCAGGGCACCGGAGUUCUCGGUCCCCAAUCCAGCUCGCAUCCACGCUGCAAGUGGUGUGGGGUGUCAUUGCGGCCUGCCUGUGGUUGGGUCUGAUUGCCGUGUCGCCUACGCAAAGUGGGCCCGGUAGUGGCCUGACUCGGGUUGGAGUCGUGGAUGGCAUUCCAUGUGUGAGUUCGGUGUGGGCCUAACAGUCAGUGGUGUAGUGGUAGACGAGCUACCCGACCCGUCUUGAAACACGGACCAAGGAGUUUAACAUGCACGCAAGUCAUGGGGUCUUACGAAACCCAAAGGCGCAGUGAAAGUGAAGUCUCGACUUGUUCUCGGGAUGUGGUGAGAUCCUGCCGUUUCUCGCAUCUGUACUUGUGCAUUGUGUCAGCACCAGGCAAAGAGCGGCAGGCGCAUCACCGGCCCG